AGAAGUUUAGGAUAUUCAGUCCAAGAGCCUUCAAAGCCCUAAGAAAACAUCUAAGUUUAACUUCUGA
rnacentral:tRNA from 1 species